CCUCCUCACAUGCAGCCCUGAGGCUGCCACGUCACUUCACCCACCGUUGCCCUUCAGUCACUUCCUGAACACUUAUGAGUUGAUCUUCCUGAAACAUGUGGUAUUUGGCAGUGUCUUUCCCAGGACAUUGAUUAUGGGAUUCACCAGAAGCUGCUGGCCUUUCACAGGCACAGACCUUCCUCUACACCAGUGGUCCCCAACAUUUUUGGCACCAGGGAACGGUUUCGUGGCAGACAAUUUUUCCAUGGAUGAUGGCGGCUGCACCCUUUACAAGGAGUCUCCAGUGGUACAGCGGAUUUUCCUCCAUCCUCCACUUCCCCUCCUGGCUGCAGCAUCCACAGAUUAUUUUCUUGAAUCUGACCCCAGUUGUUUAUUAAUUAUACCCCUUUUCAUGACACGGGAAGGCUAAGAUGAAGCUGUCUGGGAUGGAAAAGAAUCCCUUCCUCUCACAUAGAAUAAAGAUCUUGAAAAGUA